GAUGAACGCUGGCGGCGUGCCUAAUACAUGCAAGUCGAGCGAACGGACGAGAAGCUUGCUUUUCUGAUGUUAGCGGCGGACGGGUGAGUAACACGUGGAUAACCUACCUAUAAGACUGGGAUAACUUCGGGAAACCGGAGCUAAUAUCGGAUAAUAUUUUGAACCGCCUGGUUCAAAAGUGAAAGACGGUCUUGCUGUCACUUAUAGAUGGAUCCGCGCUGCAUUAGCUAGUUGGUAAGGUAACGGCUUACCAAGGCAACGAUGCAUAGCCGACCUGAGAGGGUGAUCGGCCACACUGGAACUGAGACACGGUCCAGACGCCUACGGGAGGCAGCAGUAGGGAAUCUUCCGCAAUGGGCGAAAGCCUGACGGAGCAACGCCGCGUGAGUGAUGAAGGUCUUCGGAUCGUAAAACUCUGUUAUUAGGGAAGAACAUAUGUGUAAGUAACUGUGCACAUCUUGACGGUACCUAAUCAGAAAGCCACGGCUAACUACGUG
rnacentral:rRNA from 1 species